GGCGGCGGUAGUCCCUAUGGCCGGCCCCCUUGCUGUGGAACAUUUCUGGAGAUACAGAUUUCCUGGGCGGCGGUACUCCCUGGAACGUCCUGGAGACACAGAUGUUCUGGUAAUGCAAUUGGCUGUCUGGCUGUCAUGCCACUACUUGGGUUUGAAAUCUUAGAGUUUUGACACUACAUAAUUGUGGUGUGAUGGCUCGUAAACUUGUAUAUAUUUGCAUUCAGAAAUGAUUAAUUUAUUACUUGUGUUGGAAAAUUUGACCGAGGAUUGUCCAUAAAGCUGGCAUAGACUAACUGGGUUAGAACUAGACCAAGUGGGUUCGUGGCUUGUUUACCAAUGGUCAUAGUUAUGAGUAAACUUUGAAGUUUCAUCUAUUGCCAUAAUUAAAUUUUCGCAAACUCGUUUAUUUGGAGAGUGCUCAUAAGAAAGGAGGAUAAAUAUUCUUCUAGAUUGCCUUUGUGACUAUUCCUUUGGAUUCAACUCUGCUUCUAAGAUUUCCUGAAAUGUGAUUUGAAGACAA